rnacentral:rRNA from 1 species
ACUCCUACGGGAGGCAGCAGUGGGGAAUCUUGGACAAUGGGGGCAACCCUGAUCCAGCCAUGCCGCGUGAGUGAUGAAGGCCUUAGGGUCGUAAAGCUCUUUCGCCUGUGAAGAUAAUGACGGUAGCAGGUAAAGAAACCCCGGCUAACUCCGUGCCAGCAGCCGCGGUAAUACGGGAGGGGUUAGCGUUGUUCGGAAUUACUGGGCGUAAAGCGCACGUAGGCGGAUCGGAAAGUUGGGGUGAAAUCCCGGGGCUCAACCCCGGAACUGCCUCCAAAACUAUCGGUCUAGAGUUCGAGAGAGGUGAGUGGAAUUCCGAGUGUAGAGGUGAAAUUCGUAGAUAUUCGGAGGAACACCAGUGGCGAAGGCGGCUCACUGGCUCGAUACUGACGCUGAGGUGCGAAAGUGUGGGAGCAAACAGGAUUAGAUACCCGUGGUAGCGACUGA